GCCAGUGUUGUAAGAAAUCAAACUGCGAUGGUCAACUUGCUGCUAAAUCCAAAGUGAACAGAGGACGGAUUAUCAAGUUCCUUGCUGGUCUGAAUGAGAAGUACUCAAU
rnacentral:sRNA from 1 species